AUUGAACGCUGGCGGCAGGCCUAACACAUGCAAGUCGAACGAGUGGCGGACGGGUGAGUAAUGUCUGAGAAACCGCCCCGUGGGGGGGGAUAACUACUGGAAACGGACGCUUAUACCGCAAACCCUCGUUUUUGCCCAUAUGGGAUUAGCUUGUAGGUGGGGUAACGGCUCACCUAGGCGGCGAUCCCUAGCGGGUCUGAGAGGAUGACCAGCCACACUGGAACGGAGACACGGUCCAGACUCCUACGGGAGGCAGCAGUGGGUAAUAUUGCACAAUGGGCGCAAGCCUGAUGCAGCCAUGCCGGGGGUAUGAAGAAGGCCUUCGGGUUGUAAAGUACGUUCAGCGGGGAGGCGUUACCCGCAGAAGAAGCACCGGCUAACUCCGUGCCAGCAGCCGCGGUAAUUC
rnacentral:rRNA from 1 species